GCUUGGCAGUAAAAGGCUGACACCAAACCAUCUGCCCGCCAGAUCAUUACAAGUAAAAACUUAAAACUCAAAGGACUUGACGGUGUCCCACACACAAUCUAGAGGAGCCUGUCCUAUAAUCGAUAAUCCACGAAAGACCUUACCACUUUUUGCCAAACAACCUAUAUACCGCCGUCGCAAGUUCACCUUCUGAGAGAAAUAAAGUGAACCCAAAAAUCAAACAUUUUUACGUCAGGUCAAGGUGUAGUUUAUAAAGCGGACAGAGAUGGGCUACAUUUCCUUUAUAAAGGAAACACGAAUGGCUAAAUGAAAAUUAGACCUAAAGGCGGAUUUAGUAGUAAAAUUGGAUUAGUAAGCCCAUUUGAAUGCACUGCCCUGGGACGCGC
rnacentral:rRNA from 1 species